rnacentral:lncRNA from 1 species
UCGUAGUGAAAUUUAACCAAAUUACAUAACGCGUCUGAAGAGAAAUUCGUCGGGUUCGUAACAAAGUCGAUCUGAUUCUGCCUUCUCAGCGGCUUCAUCGCCGAUCAAUCUUCAGACUUCAACAGCCCAGGUUCUCUCCUCCUCUCCUCUCUCUCCCCUUUGCCUCUUUCUCUAUUUGGUACCUUUUUUUUGAGAAAAC